CUAAUGGUAAAUCUCCCAGGUGGA
rnacentral:siRNA from 1 species